AUCUAUUCGUCACCCAACCUCUGCUCCCCAUAUAGGAGCUCGGGUCCUGGUUACGGAAGUUGGCCUCCCGUGGUCUCGAAGCGCGGCUGGCCUAAAAUUGAGCAUCGGGUUGGUGAUCUCCGAGGCACGCGGUGGUUGUUCAUUCUUACCUCGUGAUGUUGCCCCGGAGCAUCUUCCACAAGAAGCUCCAUGACCCUAGAUACAUAUCGAU
rnacentral:misc_RNA from 1 species